GACGAGCCACACAAACGUUAUUCGGAAUUACUGGGCUUAAAGGGUGCGUAGGCGGUGCGGAAAGUUGGGUGUGAAAUCCCUCGGCUCAACCGAGGAACUGCGCCCAAAACUACCGUACUCGAGGAAGAUAGAGGUGAGCGGAACUUACGGUGGAGCGGUGAAAUGCGUUGAUAUCGUAAGGAACACCCGUGGCGAAAGCGGCUCACUGGGUCUUUUCUGACGCUGAUGCACGAAAGCUAGGGGAGCAAACGGG
rnacentral:rRNA from 1 species